GACGAACGCUGGCGGCGUGCUUAACACAUGCAAGUCGAGCGGUAAGGCCCUUUCGGGGGUACGACGAGCGGCGAACGGGUGAGUAACACGUGGGUGACCUGCCCUUAGCUCUGGGAUAAGCCUGGGAAACUGGGUCGUAAUACCGGAUAUGACUCCAUGACGCAUGUUGUGGGGUGGAAAGCCUUGUGCGGCUAGGGAUGGGCCCGCGGCCUACCAGCUUGUUGGUGGGGUGAUGGCCACCAAGGCGACGACGGGUAGCCGGCCUGAGAGGGCGACCGGCCACACUGGGACUGAGACACGGCCCAGACUCCUACGGGAGGCAGCAGUGGGGAAUCUUGCGCAAUGGGCGAAAGCCUGACGCAGCGACGCCGCGU
rnacentral:rRNA from 1 species